CUUGGAUCCCUGUGCAGGACCGGGAUUGAAAAACAGAGUUAAUUCAAUGCAAGACUGUUUUAAAGUCUCUGCCAGACUUGGGCUCCCACGCUACUUCCUGGACGGACGGAGGAAUGGAAAGCUUCCAGAGUCUCUCCACCACCUCCACCGACAACACCGACUGUCCCCUCUCCGUGUGCCCGACGAGCGCUGCUGCCUCCACCGCCGCCGCCGCAGCCGCAGGAGCGACGACGCGCUGCGUGGACCAUCGCUGCUAGUCUCCCUCCAGCCGGCUCUCUCUCCCCCUCUCUCUCUCGCUGCCUCCAUCACCAUCCGUUAUCCCAGUGUUAUGCUCUUCUCCAGGAAUACCGGGGGGAUUUUGGGACGAAAAGACUCUUUCUGACUGGACCUCUAAACACCUCUCUCUCUCCCGCCCUUCACCUUCCACCGUGCCCAGUUCUCUCCGUCCGCGCUGCGUCUCCGGCGCUGCUUUUUACGCAGCGAAGGCGUCGCUGAUUCACCCGCAAAAAAAAGGGGAAAACUCAACAGUUGUUGUUGGUUAUUGUUUUGCAUGUCGACGCGCACAACACUACCAUGUGGAGGUUACUGCAAUCGUGCUGUUGCUGCUGGUGGAUUUUCUCCUUCGUUUUGCCAGCCUGCGUGCUUCUCUGGGCCGACUGUCAUCCUGCGCUGACAGGAAGCCAAGCGGAGUCCCAAUCCCCCAUCCAAGGCCUUCGCAGUGCCGCGACGGGCGAGACACGACACCGGAGAGCCGCCACCGAGGAGAACUACUGGGCCUAC